AGAACUCAAUUUCGUUAUUUUGGUUGAUAUCAAGGUUGAAUCGCGAAAUGGGUGUGGAUAGAGAGCAUUGCAGCAAUGGAGUUGAAGGAGAGUAUUAGUAUCGAACAAAAUCAAAUUGAAGUGAAAUUGUGAGUUGGAUAGGAGGAGGAAUCUCAGAAUUAACAUAAUCCAUCAGCUGGGAUUGUUAUCGUUCUUAUCCAAUUGCGAAAGGAUGAGGAUUCGAGUGGUGUGUGUUGGCCUUGUGCAUUGAAGCUCUCUAGUUUUGUUUGUUAUUUGUUUUGUUUUCUUCUUGCUUUUACCCAAAAGGAAAAAAAAGGUGUGGGGUGUGUUGUGCAACAGGAAUUUACAGGUUACCGGUACAUUUUCCUAUUGAAAGAAGCCACGAGUCUUCUCAUUUUUGGGCAAGUCAUGGUAUUUCUGCUACUGUAAGGGCCAUGGAUGAAUGUGUUUGGCUGCAGAAAGCAUC
rnacentral:misc_RNA from 1 species